UACGUAGGGUGCAAGCGUUGUCCGGAAUUAUUGGGCGUAAAGAGCUUGUAGGCGGUUUGUCGCGUCUGCUGUGAAAAUCCGGGGCUCAACCCCGGACUUGCAGUGGGUACGGGCAGACUAGAGUGUGGUAGGGGAGACUGGAAUUCCUGGUGUAGCGGUGAAAUGCGCAGAUAUCAGGAGGAACACCGAUGGCGAAGGCAGGUCUCUGGGCCACUACUGACGCUGAGAAGCGAAAGCGUGGGUAGCGAACAGG
rnacentral:rRNA from 1 species